rnacentral:rRNA from 1 species
UACAGAGGGGGCAAGCGUUGUUCGGAAUUACUGGGCGUAAAGGGCGCGUAGGCGGCCUGUUAAGUCGAACGUGAAAUCCCCGGGCUCAACCCGGGAACUGCGUCCGAUACUGGCAGGCUUGAAUCCGGGAGAGGGAUGCGGAAUUCCAGGUGUAGCGGUGAAAUGCGUAGAUAUCUGGAGGAAUACCGGUGGCGAAGGCGGCCUCCUAGCUUAAUACUGACGCUGAGGUGCGAAAGCGUGGGGAGCAAACAGG